rnacentral:rRNA from 1 species
GACAGAGGGUGCAAACGUUGUUCGGAAUUACUGGGCGUAAAGCGCGUGUAGGCGGCUAUGUAAGUCGGGCGUGAAAUCCCACGGCUCAACCGUGGAAGUGCACCCGAAACUGCGUAGCUAGAGUCCUGGAGGGGAAGGUGGAAUGCUUGGUGUAGAGGUGAAAUUCGUAGAUAUCAGGCGGAACACCGGUGGCGAAGGCGGCCUUCUGGACAGUGACUGACGCUGAGACGCGAAAGCGUGGGGAGCAAACGGG